CCUACGGGGGGCUGCAGUAAGGAAUAUUGGUCAAUGGACGCAAGUCUGAACCAGCCAUGCCGCGUGGAGGAUGAAGGCCCUCUGGGUUGUAAACUUCUUUUAUAGGGGACGAAACACUUCUUUUCCAAGAGGCUUGACGGUACCCUAGGAAUAAGCACCGGCUAACUCCGUGCCAGCAGCCGCGGUAAUACGGAGGGUGCAAGCGUUAUCCGGAUUCACUGGGUUUAAAGGGUGCGUAGGAGGGCAGGUAAGUCAGUGGUGAAAUCUUCGAGCUU
rnacentral:rRNA from 1 species